CAACAGAGCGAGUUUAUAGAGCUGUUGAUCGGCUGGGUGGGACCGAAGAACGAGAAAGAGAAGCGUCUCAGUGAAGGAGGAAUCCAGGGCAGAGCUCGGCGGCUGAUAAAUCAGAUUCACUGCCCUUAAAACGCGGAGCGUCUGGACUUUCUUACGGUCUGCUAAACAAGUGUCACUGGCAACAGACGGUUCUGUUGCAUCUUUUUUGCCCUCGUGACCCCCCCGCCCCUUCGC